AUUAACAGUCCUGCAAAUAUCGCAGGCUCUGUGCAAACAGUUCUGCGUAUGACGUCAUUGUACCGCGAGGCAAAAACCGAAGCAGCGAGUCGGUGAUGCCAUGCGGGGAUCCGUCAGGUCUCUCUCCUUCUCACCUCAGAAGAACUGCAUGAACCAGCGCAGAUCUGACCCGCUGUUUGAUGCGUAAUACUACCGAUUAAAAUAAUUGAAGGAUUCGGCAGUUUUUAAUCAUUAUUUGUUGUGGCAAAAUGGUCUAAGGGCGUGGAUUUGCUUUACCCUGGACCUCGCAGAAAAUUUUAUUUUUAGUUCUGAAUACUGCACAACCCUGGCUGUGACCUGAGAGAAGAGUAAUGGUCAGCAGAUGCUCCAGAGGCUAUCGCCCACGGGUAAACGGGCAGGUGAAAGUAUGGCAUGCUACAGCCAUCUUGCCCAGAUGGCUCUGGUAUUCUCAGCCAGAGAUUUACUUCUCAGACUGGAAGUGGCGCCUUUAUUGAAAAUGAGGUCAAUCGAUUAUUUGAGCCUGGACUGAGGCUUGCUCCUGCGCUGCAGUGAAACAGGUCCUGAUGGAGAGGGAGGAAGGGAAAAAAGAUCUAGAGAAAGGACGAAGGAAAGCCCAUAAUGCUGUAAUGCCCAUUAGCGAGAUUUCACGCACUCUCUCUGAUCUGACUCACUGACAGCAGCCUCUAAGAGACUAUAAUGAGAAUGUUUGGCAGGGUUCUGUGUGUGUGUGUCUUAUGUCAGUGUCUAGAGCCAAUCUCACAUAGACAUGGACCACUAAUGGGCAUAUCUAUAUUGGGAGAUUUUGUAUUGGACAACCAGAGUAUGUAUAGAUGUGUGUGUGCUGUUUGUUUGGGCACUCUUGAGAAUAGAGAGUGAGGGAAUCAGUGAAUAAAUAGCACACACAGCUA